rnacentral:tmRNA from 1 species
GGGGCUGACUUGGAUUUCGACAGAUUUCUUGUCGCACGGACGGCAUGCCAAGCGCUACUUGUAAAACAGCAACAAAAAUAACUGUAAACAACACAGAUUACGCUCCAGCUUACGCUAAAGUUGCGUGAGUUAAUCUCCUUUUGGAGCUGGACUGAUUAGAAUUUCUAGCGUUUUAAUCACUCCAUAACCUUAAGCUAGACGCUUUUAAAAGGUGGUUCGCCUUUUAAACUAAGAAACAAGAACUCUUGAAACUAUCUCAAGGUUUUAGAAAGUUGGACCAGAGCUAGUUUUAAGGCUAAAAAACUAACCAAUUUUCUAAGCAUUGUAGAAGUUUGUGUUUAGGACAAGAUUUUUGGACUGGGGUUCGAUUCCCCACAGCUCCACCA